GGGCCCGCACAAGCGGUGGAGCAUGUGGUUUAAUUCGAUGAUACGCGAGGAACCUUACCAGGGCUUAAAUGGGAAAUGACAGGGGCAGAGACGCCCCCUUCUUCGGACAUUUUUCAAGGUGCUGCAUGGUUGUCGUCAGCUCGUGCCGUGAGGUGUCAGGUUAAGUCCUAUAACGAGCGCAACCCCUGUGAACUGUUGCCAGCGCGUAAAGGCGGGGACUCUGUUCAGACUGCCCAGAUCAACUGGGAGGAAGGUGGGGAUGACGUCAAAUCAUCACGGCCCUUACGUCCUGGGCUACACACGUGCUACAAUGGCCGGUACAGAGGGCAGCCACACCGCAAGGUGGAGCGAAUCCUUAAAACCGGUCUCAGUUCGGAUCGGGGUCUGCAACUCGGCCCCGUG
rnacentral:rRNA from 1 species